GCCUCAUAGUUUAAUAAAAACAUGAAUUUUGGGGAUUUAAAAUCUUAGUUGUGCUAAGUAGGUUGA
rnacentral:tRNA from 1 species